UCAAAAUUAGAAACUUUUAGCAUGUCCAUGGCCCAUGAAGAUCCCUAAUUUAGCGGGAUGAAUUAUGCAGAAAACUGGUUCUCAAACGAGAAAGCAGAAUGAAUCCAAGACCAGAAUGGGUUGUUCCCUUUUGACCGCCAUGCUUUCCUGGUUCCUGGUUUCCUCCUGCUGCUCUCUCUGUCCAAAGAUCCUUCCGUUACGUCUUCCCAUCCAAUCCUACCCCAACUUGAAGGCUCAAGUCAAAUGCUUUCUCUGUUAGUGAUUCUUAACCUAGGGCCUAGCACCUCCCUCUCCCCGCCAUAUGCACACAUCACACCCCCUCCCAUAUACAUAUACCACACACCACACUUACACUGCACGCACACAUCCCCACAUAUCACACACCACAUGUCACACACACACACCACAUACAUAUACAUAUACCAUACACAUACAAACACCACACACACACUUCACAUAUACACACAUGCAUGCAGACACACUGCAUACACCCAUAUACGCACCACACAUACUACAAAUAUAUACACAUACCACACACACACACAUACACUUCACAUAUACACACACUAUACGCUGCACGUAUGCCACUUAUAUACCACACAUUGUAUAUACACACACCCACAAACACAUUGCACACACACAUACCCCGCAUAUCACACAUCACACACUGUACACAUACCACACACACAUACCCCAUGUCACACACCAUACGCUGUACACACACAUACACUGCACAACGUACAUACACACAGUGCACACACACAUACCCUACAUAUCACACACUGCACACACACACAUAUGCUACACACACACACCACACAUACACCCCCAUAUACAAACACUGCACAAUCACAAACUGCACACAUAUACACCCCACAUAUCACAGACCACACACUGCACACAUAUACACAUCCACACACCACACACACAUCACACACACAUACACACAUGCCACACAUACACACCCACAUAUACAUACACACACUACACAUAUGCAUAUACACAUACCACACACUCACACACUCACACACUGCCCACACACCACAUGCACAUCACACACACACACAACAUGCAUACCACACACAUAUAACACAUACAUAUACACACACAAUGCCAUACACACACCACACAUCACACACAUACCUUCAGUGGUUCCAUAAACUCUUUGUAAUUACAUGUCUAAUGGGAGGUAUUUGUUCUGGAGAAAGAUCUAUACCCUUUAUCAGGUUCUCCAAGAAAUUUAUGUUUUCCUUAAUUCCAAAAGCUGAAAUAAUCUCCUUCCUGUGAAUUAUCCUAUCACUUUAGACAACCUCUUAUGCCAUCUAGCAUAUGCGUUCUAGUUAUUCCUGUUUUAUCUCCCUGCUAGAUUAUAAACUCCUUCAGGGCAGGAUCC
rnacentral:lncRNA from 1 species